rnacentral:rRNA from 1 species
UACGUAGGGGGCAAGCGUUGUCCGGAAUCAUUGGGCGUAAAGAGCGUGUAGGCGGUCCGGUAAGUCGGCUGUGAAAGUCCAGGGCUCAACCCUGGGAUGCCGGUCGAUACUGCCGGACUAGAGUUCGGAAGAGGCGAGUGGAAUUCCCGGUGUAGCGGUGAAAUGCGCAGAUAUCAGGAAGAACACCGAUGGCGAAGGCAGCUCUCUGGGACGGUACUGACGCUGAGACGCGAAAGCGUGGGGAGCGAACAGG